GACGAACGCUGGCGGCGUGCUUAACACAUGCAAGUCGAACGGAAAGGCCCUGCUUUUGUGGGGUGCUCGAGUGGCGAACGGGUGAGUAACACGUGAGUAACCUGCCCUUGACUUUGGGAUAACUUCAGGAAACUGGGGCUAAUACCGGAUAGGAGCUCCUGCUGCAUGGUGGGGGUUGGAAAGUUUCGGCGGUUGGGGAUGGACUCGCGGCUUAUCAGCUUGUUGGUGGGGUAGUGGCUUACCAAGGCUUUGACGGGUAGCCGGCCUGAGAGGGUGAACGGCCACAUUGGGACUGAGAUACGGCCCAGAAUCCUACGGGAGGCAGCAGUGGGGAAUAUUGCAGAAUGGGCGGAAGCCUGAGGCAGCAACGCCGCGUGCGGGAUGACGGCCUUCGGGUUGUAAACCGCUUUCGCCUGUGACGAAGCGUGAGUGACGGUAAUGGGUAAAGAAGCACCGGCUAACUACGUG
rnacentral:rRNA from 1 species